rnacentral:antisense_RNA from 1 species
CUUAUCUCUCUCUCUCUUUUAAACAGAGGAAGACACUUAAAGAUGAAGUGCUUAAUUCAAGGUCACAGAAUGUCGGGGAUGGACCUCCAGAUUUCCUUACUGACCUGCAUUAUCUUGUGGAUACCUGAGUGAAUUCCACACCACCCAUUUUAUAGAUGAAGCCACUGAGACGUGGAGCAACUGACUGAGUAGUCACUGCCCCACCCCUGCCUGGAGCCUCACACAUGACUUCUCUUAGUGACCACAGGUGAGACGUGGUCUUGUAACACAGUGGUUAAGAAUGUGACUUUGGAGCCAGCCUGCUAGGGGCUGAAUUCUGACUCAGCCAUUUAUUAACUGUGUGACCUUAGGCUGGCGUGCAAUGGCGUGAUCUCGGCUCACCACAACCUCUGCUUCCCGGGUUCAAGCGAUUCUCCUGCCUCAGCCUCCCGAGUACCUGGGACUACAGGCACUCGCCACCAUG